rnacentral:rRNA from 1 species
UUUUAUUCCCGGGUUGAUCCUGCCGGAGGCCAUUGCUAUCGGAGUCCGAUUUAGCCAAGCUAGUUGUGCGGGUUUAGACCCGCAGCGGAAAGCUCAGUAACACGUGGCCAAGCUACCCUGUGGACGGGAAUACUCUCGGGAAACUGAGGCUAAUCCCCGAUAACGCUUUGCUCCUGGAAGGGGCAAAGCCGGAAACGCUCCGGCGCCACAGGAUGCGGCUGCGGUCGAUUAGGUAGACGGUGGGGUAACGGCCCACCGUGCCCAUAAUCGGUACGGGUUGUGAGAGCAAGAGCCCGGAGACGGAAUCUGAGACAAGAUUCCGGGCCCUUACGGGGCGCACCAGGCGCGAAACCUUUACACUGUACGAAAGUGCGAUAAGGGGACUCCGAGUGUGAAGGCAUAGAGNCUUCACUUUUGUACACCGUAAGGUGGUGCACGAAUAAGGACUGGCCAAGAACGGUGCCAGCCGCCGCGGUAAUACCGGCAGUCCGAGUGAUGGCCGAUCUUAUUGGCCUAAAAGCGUCCGUAGCUGGCUGAACAAGUCCGUUGGGAAAUCUGUCCGCUUAACGGGCAGGCGUCCAGCGGAAACUGUUCAGCUUGGGACCGGAAGACCUGAGGGGUACGUCUGGGGUAGGAGUGAAAUCCUGUAAUCCUGGACGGACCGCCGGUGGCGAAAGCGCCUCAGGAGAACGGAUCCGACAGUGAGGGACGAAAGCUAGGGUCUCGAACCGGAUUAGAUACCCGGGUAGUCCUAGCUGUAAACGAUGUCCGCUAGGUGUGGCGCAGGCUACGAGCCUGCGCUGUGCCGUAGGGAAGCCGAGAAGCGGACCGCCUGGGAAGUACGUCUGCAAGGAUGAAACUUAAAGGAAUUGGCGGGGGAGCACUACAACCGGAGGAGCCUGCGGUUUAAUUGGACUCAACGCCGGACAUCUCACCAGCCCCGACAGUAGUAAUGACGGUCAGGUUGAUGACCUUACCCGAGGCUACUGA